CAUUUACAGUCGCUGCUGAUGUCUUUCCUCCCAAAUCUUUCUUCCUGAGCUGGCUACAAACAGAUCUCGUUGAAUGGCCUGAACGAACGGCCUCAUAACCGUAAUUUUUGUAAUUUGUUGUAGAAUUUUGAUAAUGAGUUUGUAAUUUAUCUUCAUGAACUUGAUUUUUUAGUUUUCAAUUUGUUUAAUAGCUUGUAAUUUUUUUCAUGAAUUUGCAAUUUAUUGUCGGUUAACCGAAUAAACCGAGGAAAAAAAUCAAUUCAGUUUAGUUCGGAAUU